rnacentral:rRNA from 1 species
UACGUAGGUGGCAAGCGUUGUCCGGAAUUAUUGGGCGUAAAGCGCGCGCAGGUGGUUUCUUAAGUCUGAUGUGAAAGCCCACGGCUCAACCGUGGAGGGUCAUUGGAAACUGGGGAACUUGAGUGCAGGAGAGAAGAGUGGAAUUCCACGUGUAGCGGUGAAAUGCGUAGAUAUCGGGAGGAACACCAGUGGCGAAGGCGACUUCCUGGCCUGUUCUUGACGCUGAGGCGCGAAAGCUAGGGUAGCAAACGGG